AGGUAAAAGUCGGGCGACGACAAAUAGUGAGAGGCGACUACGUGCCUACGAAGAGACGAAGGCUUCCUGGAGAUGAAGUGGAGUCGGCACAGCCAGAGCCAUGCGUACCCAUUGAUUAUCCACAAUUGGAUGGUGUGUCGGAUGAAAGUGUGGAACGUUCACUAGGUGACAAUCAGG